UCUUAGGCUAUACUGUUUCUUUUGGAGAAUCCUUCUCCUCCUCCCACCUCCACAAGCUUCCCACGGCGAAACCUUAAAAUCAGCGUAACGAACAUGAAGAGUGAAACGUCCUGACAGUUUUCUUCUAACAUGGGUUUUUGCAUGCCAGUAUGAUUAUCAGUUUCGUGCUGCCUCCAACAAACUGCAGAGUUCAAAGACUUUGCAAGUUUAAAAACGAUUGGAAAGGUGGAUGAAGCAGGAGAGAGGAAACCGAUUGCACAGAGCUUCUCGGCUCUCCAGAGCUAAGGCUCAGAGAAACACAUAAAUUUAAUUUUUGUGCUAACUUAACAUUUUUUUGUCUAUUAAAUUUUUUUAUACUUGUCAAUUUUUGUGCAGCAGUUUAAUAAACUUGCUCUUAAACUUCGCAAAAAUAAAAUUGUAAUACUGAAA